AAGCAGUGAUCUCGGCACGUGCUACACUACCCAGGCUCAAAUCACAUAUGUUUGACCAAUGGCUCCACCUAGUGGUGGUUUCUAUAAUAUAACCUUAAGCGUUUUAAGGAUAAAAUGGUGUAAAACCAAAUAUAGGUCUAAAUGAUAUUAUAAUUGUUACUACUUAACUGCAUGGAAUGUUGGGAAUCUUGCAGGGAAUAACCUUGCAAGGCAUGUCAUCCUCUCUUCCUCUCCCUCCCUCUGUUCAUAAUCUGUGUUGAAGGACAGGGAGGCACUUGCCUCAUUGCUGCUGACAAAUAAUAGAGGAAGUCAGUGACUGAGUGCUGCAUAAAAGGACAUAAACAGUACCUGCUGGACUUAGUGUGGAGCAGCUGCGGAGUGAAGAACAACAGGUUGGACUCAGUGGUGAGCCUCGCGGAGGGCUUGCUCUCAUUGGCCGUUCAGCUGCAUGCACAGUGUCAGGAGGAGAGCGCGCAGAUGGCCGCUCUAGCCGUGCAGCUGAGAGAGGAGAGCCAGUCUUCUUAGCCAAAGCGACGUGCUUCAACAGGACAUGGCUGAGAUGUGCAAAGCACUGGAAACUCUGAUGGACACUAAGGUGGCCUUUGAAGCCAAAGAGAGACAGGCUCGCAAACUAAGCAAGCAGCUCUGAAACACAGUGGAGAUUUUACCACUUAAAUUCAAUGAAAUUGGCAUUGACAGAAAAAAAUUGUGGUCUUCUAGUUCACAUCAUCAAAUGUGAUGUGGAAUGUAUUUUCUUUUUAUUAAUUAAAAUCUAAUCCUGAAACAACAACAA